rnacentral:rRNA from 1 species
GAUGAACGCUGGCGGCGUGCCUAAUACAUGCAAGUCGAGCGAACAGAUGAGGAGCUUGCUCCUCUGACGUUAGCGGCGGACGGGUGAGUAACACGUGGAUAACCUACCUAUAAGACUGGGAUAACUUCGGGAAACCGGAGCUAAUACCGGAUAAUAUAUUGAACCGCAUGGUUCAAUAGUGAAAGACGGUUUUGCUGUCACUUAUAGAUGGAUCCGCGCCGCAUUAGCUAGUUGGUAAGGUAACGGCUAACCAAGGCAACGAUGCGUAGCCGACCUGAGAGGGUGAUCGGCCAAACUGGAACUGAGACACGGUCCAGGCUCCUACGGGAGGCAGCAGUGGGGAAUAUUCGACAAUGGGCGAAAGCCUGAGGGAGCAAUGCCGCGUGGGUGAAGAAGGCCUUCGGGUUGUAAAGCCCUUUUAUUGGGAAAGAAAAAAAGUAUAAUAAUAUAUGGCUGUUCUGACGGUACCAAAAGAAUAAGCACCGGCUAACUUCGU